GUGCCAGCAGCCGCGGUAAUACGGAGGGUGCGAGCGUUGUCCGGAAUCACUGGGCGUAAAGGGCGCGUAGGCGGUCUGCUAAGCGUGCGGUGAAAGCCUGGGGCUCAACCCCAGGUCUGCCGUGCGAACUGGUGGACUAGAGCACUGUAGAGGCGAGUGGAAUUCCGGGUGUAGCGGUGGAAUGCGUAGAGAUCCGGAAGAACACCGGUGGCGAAGGCGGCUCGCUGGGCAGUAGCUGACGCUGAUGCGCGACAGCGUGGGGAGCAAACAGGAUUAGAUACCCUUGUAGUCC
rnacentral:rRNA from 1 species